AACGCGAAGAACCUUACCAAGGCUUGACAUCCCAUUAAACCCAUAGAAAUAUGGAGUGCUGCUUUGCAGCGAAUGGAGACAGGUGGUGCAUGGUUGUCGUCAGCUCGUGUCGUGAGAUGUUGGGUUAAGUCCCGCAACGAGCGCAACCCUUAUCCUUAGUUACCAGCACGCAAUGAUGGGGACUCUAGGGAGACUGCCGGGGAUAACUCGGAGGAAGGUGGGGACGACGUCAAAUCAUCAUGCCCCUUAUGUCCUGGGCUACACACGUGCUACAAUGGUCGUAACAAAGAGAAGCGAAGUUGUAAAGCCAAGCAAAACUCAAAAAAGCGAUCUCAGUUCGGAUUGUGGGCUGCAACCCGCCCACAUGAAGUCGGAGUUGCUAGUAAUCGCGAAUCAGAAUGUCGCGGUGAAUGCGUUCCCGGGUCUUGUACACACCG
rnacentral:rRNA from 1 species